UCAGAACUGAAGAUGUUUCUGGCCAGAGAGUUUGAUUCAUUAAAAGAACACUAAUAGCAACAUAAACUCAUGUGCCUUUACACACACAAAAAUAAUGUUUCCUGAUUCGUAACCCAUGUGGCUGAGAGGGUCUCUUCUUUGUGUUAAGAAGCUAGAAAAGCUCACUUGAGAUCAUCUUAAUGUUCACUUAAUUAAUAAUUGAGAUCCUAUUAAUCCAGAAAAGAGCCAUUUGAGGAUUUUUGCAGACAUUGCAGGUAUGGACUAGGGCUCUGUGUAUCUUCUCACAAUAUUGGAGGAUUUUAUGUGUACAAAGGCCUACUAGGAAUCUUCUGCCCUUGCCUCCUUCUCCGUCACACACCUACAGCUCUGCUUUCCCAAGUAAAAUAUUGGAGUUCCUGCUGUGGCUCAGUGGUAACAAACCCAACUAGUGUCCAUGAGGAUGCAGGUUUGAUCCCUGGCCUUGCUCAGUGGGGUUAAGGAUCUGGUGUUGCUGCAAGCUGAGGCAUAGGUAGCAGACACAGCUCAGAUCUGGCGCUGCUGUGGCGUAGGCCGGCAGGCAGCUACAACUCUGAUUCAACCCCUAGCCUGGGAAUUUCCAUACGCCACAGGAGCAGCCAUAAGAAGGAAAAACAAAAAAUCUGUGUUAAGACCUCAGGAAGUUUUAAGGUGUUGCUUCAUAGACCCUUUCAAGCAUACAAAGACCUGCAAACUAUAAGCUCAGACAGUAGCUUUGCAGAGACUAAGGCAGAGAAGGGCUAAAUGAGAUUUGUGGGUAUGGUUUUGCCUAAUGGAGUGGGUCAUAAAUUGAUUCUUAAGAAGCCUGCAAUGUUUUUUCCUUAAAGAACUAUGAUGAACUUAAACCAUAAGGGACAUCAGGCCUUCGAAUUCCCAAAGGGCAGGAAGCAGUCUAAGAGAGCAACUCAGCUGCAAAGAUGGGCUACUUUUAGUGGAAAAGGAAAAGUGCCCAAAGGGUAGACUCAAGAGCAGAUAUGGUGAAUGACUUCCAAGAAACAGAACUGAGUCCUCAUCAGGGAACUGGCAGCACACACUCAGGAGGAUUGCAGAACUGCUGUGAGCCAGGGACUACUCUGGGCUCCCCACUUUUCUCCCUUUUGAGCCUAAGUGUCUAUACCUUGACCCACUGCUGUAUUUUGGGUAUGGUGGGGAGAUGGCUUGUCUCUUGAGUCACAGGUGUUCAGAUUGGGUGGAGCUACCCUAGGGGAUAGUAGCCAGGGAGCCUCAGCCACAUGCUACCAUAGGAUCUGGAAGCAUGGAUCGAUGUCGGGAGACAUGUUUCUACAAUAUUUUCUUAGCCACUCUGUUUCUAUUUUCUUUGCUAAAACCUCCAUCUUGUCCUGCCUUACUUUACCCCAUCUUCCUGCUCGAAAAACAGUUGCAGUGCUGGUAAACGACUUAAGCUUAAGAACAAAGACCUAAAGGCAUAAGUUAUUCUUAGGGUCAGCUGAAUGAGGACAGGGAUGCCGGACCUGUGCAGAUGGGCACGCCUGUGCAGAUGGGCAGGGCGUCUGCACAACAUAUGUCCUAUCAAAAUAAGAGAAAGAGGAACCUCAUGGCCCCAAGUGGUUUAUGAAUGGUCAUUAGCAGAAUAUGCAUCAGCAAGGAGAACCAAGGUGCAAACCUAGGCACCCCAGGUUGCCGCAGAUAGACAUGCCCUUUGUGGAAGCACAAUGGUGAUUCUUGAGAUGCUAUGCACAGAUAGCCAAGCUUCCCCAAAUGCUAAUGAUUGUUAAAUGCCUAAAGGUCAGAAUAAAAGCUUAAUCAUCUACCAGCUGUGUGACUUCUAAAAUAAUAAAAGAACUUCUAAAAUAAUACAAAAAACUAUAUCCUACACCUAUAACCCCCUCCUCACUUGACGUCAUCCUAAAGAGCACAGUAAAAGCAGUGUGGUUUCUUGAGGCAGCACUCUUGGUCCCUGAGACCUUGAGUCCCCCAGUUCCCACCUUUACUUAAGAUAAAUGUCUCUGUAUCUUGUUUUAUGUUAACUUUUCCUUAAGUUUCACGGCACCCGUUCUUCCGCCCUCACCUGCUGAGCUGUCUCGGCAGAUGGAGAGGAGGGGGAGUGAGUAUAUCUUACAUGUAGGGGAAAUGCAAAGAAUUCAUGUCCCAUGGGCCACCUGUGAAGUCUUAAAACAUGCCUGUGAAUUCGUUGAUGUUCUUCCCAACAAAAGAUAGAGCCCAAUUCCCCUUCCCUUGAAAGGGGCUUGCUUCUAACAAAUAGAAUAUGGCAGAAGGGAUCCUGUUUGACUUCUCAGACAAGCUCACAAAAGGGGAGGCAGUUUUGCCUUGUUUCUUUUCUCUUGCCAGGUUUGCUUUGGAAUCCACUGACCCCUGUGGGAGGUGGGCCAGCAGCCACCAGGGAGGGCAGGGUGGAGGUGUUCUGGCCACAGUCCAGCUGCGGUCCCAGCCCAGGGCCACUCUUACCCGGCAACCUGUGAGUAGGAAGGUGAGUUUUCAGAUGUGGUCCCAGCGCAGAGAUGCCACGGGGAGCAAAGACAAACUGUCCUUGCCAACCCCAGCCAAAUUAUAAAUUCAUGAGGAAAAUGAAUGUAAUCAUUGAUUUAAGGCACUACUUUUUGGAGUGGUUUGUUAUGUGGCAACAGAUUAACUGGAUGUUGAUGUGCAAAUACCUGCUAGAAAUAUCCCCAUAUGCAAAUGCAACCUUGUAACAGUCACAAGAUUUUAGGCAUUAUAAAUUAUAAUUUCUUUAUGGUUCCCAGAUUUAUCACUUACUAAUUGUGGGACCUUUAGUAAGUCAGUCUCUUGAACUUCAGCGUCUGCAACUAUAAAAUGGAGAUGAAAGUACUUGUCUUAAAAAAAAUGAUUUAUGUUGUGAGAUAACGGAUGUUAGCUAAAAAAAAGUCAUUUAUGAAUAUUAUCUAGCAACGAGCAAAAGGAUGAUGUAUUGGAUUCACAUGAUUACAACGAUAAAAAUGUACAGAAAUAGAUGAUUAGGUUAGUGGAAUUAAAAAUAUUUUUUUCCUUCUAUUUUCCAGAUUUCCUUAAAAUGAUUUACUUUAGUAAUAAAAAAUUAGAAAGUGUUCCCCAAAAUCCCAUUGCACACUCCCAGCCCAAACCCAGGGAAUAAAUCAAUGGUUAUUUCUUCUCAGUCUCCCUGCAGGUUAAACCAGGUAAAUGGUUUGGAAGAGAAACAGUGAUGAAACAGCUUCCUAUCCUUGGAAUCUGGGGGUCAAUACAGGAUUGACCCCAGAACCCAGAUUACUUGCCUCCCCAGCUAGCACACUAUUUCUUCCACCUGUAACCUCACAGUACUAGUUUUCACCUGUAUAGGCUAAGCCACACGAAAUGCCUUUAUUUAAAUAACUGGAAGUCUCAGCCAUCUGAUCUUAGGAGGCAUAUAAUCCAGUGAUUAGCAGAGUCAGUCAAAAUGCAUGCAUUGGAAACCUGCCUCCAGCACGUAUUAUCUGGGGUUUUUGUAGAUGUGAAUAAUGAUACUGGGGGGAGAUCAUCCUGGAUUACAAGGGUGGACCCUCUAUCCAAAGACACAGACACACGCAGGUCAGGGGAAGAGAGAAGUUAUGUAGCCACAAACCAGGCAAAGUCUGGAGCCACAGAAGCAGGGAGAAGUGGGAACGGAGUCUCUCUUAGAUCCCAGAGGAAGGACAGCCCUGAGGACAACUUCUAGCCCUCUGAACUGCGAUAAUACAUUUCUGUUGUUUUAAGACACCAAGUUUGUGAUGAUUCAUUAUGGCAGCCCUACGAAUAUAAUGCAAUGGAAGAAUCUUGCAAAUCACAAGGAUGAAGGGAAAAAAUUCAAAUGACAAGAAAAAAACCAUUUAAAGCUUUAAAAACAUGUAAUGGAUACUUUGUAUUAUUUAUAGAUAUAUACAUAUUGACAAAAAGCAUAAAGAAAAUGGGAGGGAAUUCCCUGGUGGUCUCAUGGUUAGGAUUUGGUGCUUUCACCACUGCAGCCUAGGUUCAGUCCCCAGUCUGGGAACUGAGAUCCCACACCAACCCACUACACACUGUGG
rnacentral:tRNA from 1 species